UUCCGAUGGUGAACCUGCGGAGGGAUCAUKACACAAAUAUGAAGGCGGGCUGGAACCUCUCGGGGUUACAGCCUUGCUGAAUUAUUCACCCUUGUCUUUUGCGUACUUCUUGUUUCCUUGGUGGGUUCGCCCACCACUAGGACAAACAUAAACCUUUUGUAAUUGCAAUCAGCGUCAGUAACAAAUUAAUAAUUACAACUUUCAACAACGGAUCUCUUGGUUCUGGCAUCGAUGAAGAACGCAGCGAAAUGCGAUAAGUAGUGUGAAUUGCAGAAUUCAGUGAAUCAUCGAAUCUUUGAACGCACAUUGCGCCCUUUGGUAUUCCAAAGGGCAUGCCUGUUCGAGCGUCAUUUGUACCCUCAAGCUUUGCUUGGUGUUGGGCGUCUUGUCUCUAGCUUUGCUGGAGACUCGCCUUAAAGUAAUUGGCAGCCGGCCUACUGGUUUCGGAGCGCAGCACAAGUCGCACUCUCUAUCAGCAAAGGUCUAGCAUCCAUUAAGCCUUUUUUUCAACUUUUGACCUCGGAUCAGGUAGGGAUACCCGCUGAACUUAAGCAUAUCAAUAAGCGGAGGAA
rnacentral:rRNA from 1 species